GGUGAACGUGGUCUGGUUUGUGUGUCUGUACCUGUCCCAGGUGUGUCCCAGGUGUGUCCCAGGUGUGUCUCACCUGUCUCAGGUGUGUCUGUACCUGUCUCUCAGGUGGUUUUCUCCUGCUGCCGUUCCUGUGGCUGGUGAACGUGGUCUGGUUUGUGUGUCUGUGCCUGUCCCAGGUGUGUCCCAGGUGUGUCCCAGGUGUGUCCCAGGUGUGUCCCAGGUGUAUCUCAGGUGUAUUUACCUGUCCCAGGUGGGUUCCUGCUGCUGCCGUUCCUGUGGCUGGUGAACGUGGUCUGGUUUGUGUGUCCCAGGUGUGUCCCAGGUGUGUCCCAGG